CCCAAGCAGGUUCUGUAUUACCAGUGCAGAGCCUGAUGUGGUGCUCUAUCCCAUGUACCAUGAGAUCAUGACCUGAGCUGAAAUCCAGUCAGAUGCUUAACUGAGUCACCCGGGUGCCCCAGAAACCUUAUUCAUUUCUAUUCAUCAAAAGGUACAUUGCCAAAAGUAUUUUAAUAUGUCAAGUUAAUGAAUUGUGUGAACAGUAAAACUUUACUUAUUCUCAUGGACUUAAUGAGAUCCAUGAAUUUUUUUCAGAACUAGAAGCUGAAUAUUUUGACUUGAACUAUCACCACAGAUUGCCCAUGAUUUAGUAGCAGUAAAUACUGUGAAUUUCUUUUGAGCUCAUAUCCAUGAUUAAAAUUUUUCUGAACAAGAAAAAUGGCCCUUAGCACUGUUAAUAGACUGCAUAUUUUUGCAAAUUAGCUUUUGCCACAGACUUGAUUUCUCUGGAUUUAAGUUAGAAGGUAAAACAAUACUUCUGUGUGAAGUACUGUGGUAGUCAUUUCAACGAGUCAUAAAUAAUAUCCAAAUACUAUAUACUGUGUAGUCAACAAAUAAGAUCUCCAUUCCCACAUUUUCCAGAAUCAAACUAUUCUAAUAGCAUUUUUUUUACUUUAAUGCAAGUAUGAAGAAAAUUUCCUUACUUAAAAAUGUAUUCAGUUCUUGGGGCUCCUGGGUGGCUCAGUGGGUUAAGUGUCCAACUUUCGCUCUGGUCAUGGUGUCACUGUCCGUGGGCUCAAGCCCUGCAUCAGACUCUGUGCUGACAGCUGAGAGCCUGGAGCCUGCUUUGGAUUCUGUGUCUCCCUCUCUCUCUGCCCCUCUCCUGCUUAUGCUCUGUCUCUCUCUCUCAAAAAUUAAUAAACAUUUUAAAAAAAAUUAUUCAGUUCUGUAUAUUUGAGGAACUGCUAUCUAAUAUUGGAAGUGAUUAUUCUGCAAUAUAAUAACCUCUUGAGAGGCAAAUAUCUAGAGAAAUCUCAAACAGUUCUGUAAUACUUUUCCUAGUAAUAAAUAUGCUCAGUCAAAAGCAGUACUCAGUAUUUGUUUGUAUGUAUCUGUGUGGACAGACUGUUUUAAAGAUGAAAUAUAUAAAAUCUCAUUACAGAUCGGCAUUAAGUGAACAUUUGCGAUUUUAAUAGAACAGUAACUUUGAACUCUAAUCUUAGAAUUUAAUUCUCAUUCAUAGACCUGUAUUGCAUAAAGUUGUACUUAUUUUUAAACUUAGAAUUUCAUGACUAUCAAUUUUGGCUAAAUUUUUUCUCACUAAGGAUCUGUGUAAUAGCCUUCACUUUGGCUCUUCACAACAUCUAAAAUAUGUACUAUUUGACUCCUUGAAGAAAAGAAAAAUGCUCAGAUACUACCCUAGUGAAAGGAACUGAAGUCAGAAUUGAGUGUUGUAGACCAUAAUAGAACUAAUGUGUUCUAGACCACACUAGACAUAAUGAUACAGAAGUAACAGGUCUGACAGAUCCAGUUGGGUUCACUGGUAGUCAAAUUGCUGGCCUGAACAAAACUCAAAUGUUAUAUAUUGGAAGUCAGCAUAAUGCAGUGGAGUGAGUUGAAUAGUGUCUCCCCAAAUUUGAUGUCCAUUCAGAACCUUAGUGGAAAUAGAGUCUGUGGGUGUAAUUAAGGUAAGGUUUGAGAUGAGAUUAUAUUGGAUUAGGUUGAAUCCUAAAUCCUUGAGAAACAGACCAGGACAUGCCAGGACACAGAAGACAGGAAGAGAGAGGCAAUGAUGUGUCUACAAGUGGAGGAGUACUGGCAUCCACCAGAAGCUAGAAGAAGAAAGGAAGGAUCCUAUAAUCUUGAAUGUGGCCCUGCUGAUACCUUGAUUUUUAAAUUUCUGUUUUAGGCCACAAAGUUUGUGGUAAUUUGUUAAAGCAGCCCUAGGAAGUUACCACAUCUACAGUCUCCAUGACAUUUUAUGUAAAGUGUUUAGCCUAAGUCAGUAAUUUCCUGACAUGCAUGAUGUGACCCAAAAAGAAGAGAAAUAAGUGCUACUAAAAAUGAUCUGAAUUGACCCAGAUGUUGUAAUUACAAGACAUGGAUUUUGAAGCUGCUUGUCUAAUAUGUUUGAAGGUUCAAAGGAGAAAAAUGAGGGAGCAGGUGGGCGCCUCGGCAGAGAAGGCAAGUAUAAAAAUAAAAGGAAAUUCUAGAACUGAAAAAGUAUGUGUAAUGUUAAGCCAGGGGUGAGUUUAAUAAUAUAGUGCAGAUUAUAGAUGUAUAUCAGCAGUUAUGAAUUGAAAAUUUGAAAGAAAAUUGUUUUAAAACAUUUAAACAAGGCCUUAGUUAUCUUUGGAAAAUAUCAACUGAUCCAACAUGUAACUGAGUGAAAAGGAGAGUUACAAAAUAUUUCAUGUGACAGGCAAAUUAUUUGAAGGAAUAGUGGUUGAAUAUGUGCAAAAUUUGGUGAAAAAUACCUUACACAUUAAAGAGAAUUUCAGCAAACCCAAAUAAGUCUAAUAAGCAAACUAUACCAGUACCCUGAUAAAGAUAAAAUCAUAAGAGAUUCCAAAAAAGGUAGUAAACAGGUGUGGACAACCACAUAAGUGACCACAGACAGCAGAAAUGGUGGAGGCCAGAACAUAAAAUGACCUUUUGAAGUGAUGGGGGCUCGAUUCAAAAUUCUAUGCCAUAUAAUUCAAAAGAGGCUGAAAGUUGAGAGUUCACUACUUGAAGACCUUGUUCUAGAAACAGCUAUUUGCCUCCCAAGAUCAGUGGUAAGGAGUUUGGUUGUCACAACUCAAAGUGCCUGGACUCUAGUGCAGGAAGGCCUAGGGUGCUUCUAAACCUCUUACACUGCACAGGACAGUCUGCCACUACACCAAUAUAGCAGUAGUUCCAGGGUAGUUCCGGGGUUCAGGGCUGGUCUAGAGGACUUGUCCCAGAACAUGCAAUGACGGUAAAACAUGGAGCUUUCCACUGCCUGCUUCUAGAUUUAUGUUGAAAUAGUGCAGGCAGCCCCCUGCCAGGAGUUAAGCUGCACAAAAUUAGAAGGGGCUUAGACCCCAGUGUUAAGUAAACAUUCAGUUACUUCUAUGAGGGUCUUAAGUGCUCCAUGAAUUACAGGAAUUUUAAAUGCUCAAACGGAAAAAAGGGCAAUGAAUAAUCCUAGGAAAUGCAAACAGUGCUCUUGGGAUUUAGGUUUAGGCACCAGCUGAAUCGGAAACAGGGAGUCAGGAUCUUGGCAUUGGCUCAGAAAAUGUGGUUGGAUUUUUCAGAUCCGUUGCAUUCAAGAAAUUUCUCUUUUCCCAAGAUACACCCCUCCACCCCCAGAGCUCUGCCAAGUAGGAGUCAGGAUGGCAGCCACUGUGGUUUUUGAAGACGAAGGGAAGGACUUCAGACCCCAGGAAGGAGGUGGCCCUGAAGGACACUGGCUCGUGUGCAGUGAGCGCGUUGGCACAGGAGGGACUCAAGUUCUCUCUGCCUUUGGGUCAGGCUAUGACCCCCACCGAAGGGCUCAGGCCCGGGGGAGUGGGGUAGGGGUGCUUAUCAAGUAGGGGUCGCGGACAGCAGGAGCUGCGGGGUGCGGGGAAGCUCUUGUAAGUGCAGCCGCAGUGGCCACGGGCCUGUGUUUAACUGGGUGCGUGUGGAGCCGCCUGCUGGUCUGGUCAGACCAGGCCGCACCGCAAACAAGCCGCGCCCCCUGGUUCUCUGCGCCAGGGGUACUGGCGUUCGACGUCCAACUCCGGAAGUCUGCUGGGCCCAGCCCGUGAAGAAGGGUCGCAGUCAGAAACUCAGGGAUACUAGGGAGAGACUCUGCUGUGGGCCCCGCCUCCCACACGAACGCGGUGCGCAGCGGCCAAGGUGUCAAGGGGACAGCACGGCCCGGCCUCUGAGAACUAUGCCCGGUGAAUACCCCGGCGGCUGGCCCUGCGCCACGACUGUCCACACGUGACCUUUUUCUCCUUAGGGGUACGAUUUAUGGAGUGAAGGAGCGCCGCUUCCUCCCAGGCUCUGCAGCCCCGCUCAGGCCAGGAGCCCAGGAGGCGUCUCCGUGGGCCAGCGGCGCCCUGGCCUUCGUUUGGCCCUCCGGGUCUCCGUCCCAGCACAGCGGUUGGCGCGAGUUGGGGACGGCCGCGGGCGUGACACUCGUCAGCACGAACCGCGAGCACAGCGCGAGGAGCACUUCAAUCUAAGGCCCCCGAGGAUAGGCCGGAACUAAGGGCUGUGCCAACUGGAGGGGCUGCGAGUCUGUGAAAGCCGCCGGGAGACUGAGCAUGUAUAAUCCGUUAAAAUGAGUUCAGUUAUGAGCUAAAGAGUGUGAAGCUGCCCUCAUAAAAAGGCAUGAUGUAUUAUUUCUUCUGGAGUUCCAAGGAACCUUUAACGUGAGGAAGAAAAAGUAUUACACACCUGGCAAGGAAAGACAAAUAUGGAGGCAGCUCAGAACAAGUGUUAUGCCCCUUCUUUUGGCAUCAGACACCUCUCUCAGUAGAUCCUUGAACCUGAGAAAAUACUUCUUUUUGGAGCUGCCAAGAGAAUUACUUGGAAAUUAAAAACGAGUGGAACUACUGGCACAAUGGAGUAAAGGGAUGACCCCAACAACCAGUUCCUUUUUCUUCUGGUUGGAUCUUGAAAAUCUGAUUUACUAUCACUAUUGUUUUGCAAAAUUGCUUGAAUUAGUAGAAGCAAAGCUAAAAACAAACAAAAGAGGUAAAAAAAAAUGCCUGCACUCUACAAUGCUAAUAAAAACUGAUAUGUAGGCAUAAUUUUGAAUUGGGAAUUCUAGUUUACUGAAAAUAAAUCUUAUUUGGGGUGACAAA